CAGUCGCCGCGGGAAAACGAAGGGGGCUAGCGUUGUUCGGAAUUACUGGGCGAAAAGCGCACGUAGGCGGAUAUUUAAGUCAGGGGUGAAAUCCCAGAGCUCAACUCUGGAACUGCCUUUGAUACUGGGUAUCUUGAGUAUGGAAGAGGUGAGUGGAAUUCCGAGUGUAGAGGUGAAAUUCGUAGAUAUUCGGAGGAACACCAGUGGCGAAGGCGGCUCACUGGUCCAUUACUGACGCUGAGGUGCGAAAGCGUGGGGAGCAAACAGGAUUAGAUACCCCUGUAGUCCCUGUCUCUUAUAC
rnacentral:rRNA from 1 species